rnacentral:rRNA from 1 species
GGAGUUCGAUUAAGCCAUGCGAGUCGUGAGUCUUAGGGACUCGGCAUACUGCUCAGUAACACGUGGAUAACCUGCCCUAUCGUCUGGAAUAACCUCGGGAAACUGAGAAUAAGGCCGGAUAGUUCACAAUGCCUGGAACGGUUUGUGAAUCAAGGUAGGAUGGGUCUGCGGCGUAUCAGGUUGUAGGGGGUGUAAAGGACCCCCUAGCCUUCGACGCGUACGGGUGUUGGGAGACAUAGCCCGGAGAUGGAUUCUGAGACACGAAUCCAGACCCUACGGGGUGCAGCAGGCGCGAAAACUUCACACUGCAGGAAACUGUGAUGAGGGAACUCCUAGUGCAUGCACUAUGUGUAUGUAGAUCCUACUCUUAACAAGUAGAGGGAAAGGGCUGGGAAAGACCGGUGCCAGCCGCCGAGGUAAUACCGGCAGCUCAAAGUGGUCGUCGCUUUUAUUGGGCCUAAAACGUUCGUAGACUGUUUGGUUAAUCUGUGGGGUAAUCACUCCGCUCAACGGAUUGAAUUCUGCAGAGACUGGCAGACUAGGGACCGGGAGAGGUGUGGGUACUCAGGGGUAGGGUAAAAUCUGUCAUCUUCGAGAACACCGGUGCAAAGCCCAACUGAACGAUCCACG